rnacentral:rRNA from 1 species
CCUACGGGAGGCAGCAGUGAGGAAUAUUGGUCAAUGGGCGCGAGCCUGAACCAGCCAAGUAGCGUGAAGGAUGACUGCCCUACGGGUUGUAAACUUCUUUUAUACAGAAAUAAAGUGAGGCACGUGUGCCUUUUUGUAUGUAUUUUAUGAAUAAGGAUCGGCUAACUCCGUGCCAGCAGCCGCGGUAAUACGGAGGAUCCGAGCGUUAUCCGGAUUUAUAGGUUUUAAAGGGAACGUAGAUGGGUUGUUAAGUCAGUUGUGAAGAUUUGCGGCUCAACCGGAAAAUUGCAAUUGAUACUGGCAGCCUUGAGUCUAGUUGAGGUAGGCGGAAUUCGUGGUGUAGCGGUGAAAUGCUUAGAGAUCACGAAGAACUCCGAUUGCGAAGGCAGCCUACUAAACUGCCACUGACAUUGAUGCUCGAAAGUGUGGGGAUCAAACAGGAUUAGAUACCCUAGUAGUC